UCGGCUUUCUCCUACCUCGUGCUAGGAGCCAUUCAUCCAGCGUGACCUUCUCUCUGCACUUAGGCAUGCCUGCUCCCACCCCCCCUUUUGUGGCUACAAUAGGGAUGGUUUUCUGCCCUGCUACAAUUUUAGUUUUUUCUUUUCAUUGAUUGGUUGGUUGAUUGAUAAAAUGUCCGUGCGGUGUCUGGUUUAGUGUGGAGAAAUCUUCACAAAAAUACAUAUGUAUUGUAUUCUUUGAUGUUGCUAUUUCAUGCCCUCUAACUGUUUGUUAGUAUGCCUACAAGAACUAAGCAUCUUUUUUAUGUUUCUAUUCUAUAUCUUGAUCCAGUUAGGACUUUUUUGUGUGUACAGGACAACCCCAAUGAUCAUUCACCCAUUCCAUGUGUCGUGCUUAUCUUGAAAAACGGAUGUGCCAUAUAACUAAGUUGCUGGAGUGUACAAAUAUGGCAUGGUUGCCACUUCGGCAGAUUGUUCACUAGGUAUUGGAUUGAGAAGGUACGGGCUAGAUGAAAAUAUACAUUGCAUUAUUUGUUACUCAUUUUAUAAAACUAUUUAAUUUAUUCCAUUUAGAUGAAGGUAGCUUCAGCUUAUAGACAACCUUUUCUGAACAAAUAACAGAUGGUCUGAUUUGCUCUACUUCUCCAGGUUUCCUUGUGCUACUUGCAGUUUUUAUUCUCUGUGAUGAUGAUUAGCAUUCGGUCCAUAACUAAAUAAUCUCUAUUUAAUUAUGCUAACAUGUCACAAUUUCAUUCCUCUCUCCACUCAUUCUUUAGCGCCUUGAGGCCACUAGCGUUGCUUGCUAAGGAGAAACAUGCCUUUGGAUAAAAUUAUUUAAAAUUUACCAUGUUCUUCUAGGUUAAUUUUAAAACAUUUUUCAUGUAUUUCCACUUCUAAAGGGUGUUGCUAGUUUUUCUAUUUGAGUACUGGUUUGUUGCAGGGCAAAGCAUUUCAAAAGAAGCGUCAACCAUUGACUAGCAAUUUUGAUGCACCGAUUACCCUAAGAAGGCAAGCUAUUGAUCAUGUAGUUCAAAGAAAAAAUUGAGUCAAUUUUUAAAAGCUUCUUAUCACAGUUGUUUCACAUGUUUCCUAGCAUGAUGGAAGAUGAUAUGGUGAAUAACAUGAAUUACCUUGUGCUCGAUGAUGACCCACAAGUAUAGGGGAUCGAUCGUAGUCCUUUCGGUAAGUAAGAGUGUCGAACCCAACGAGGAGCAGAAGGCUCUGAUAAACGGAUUUCAGCAAGGUAAUAACUGCAAGCAUUGAAAGUAGCGGUAACAAGUGAUUGUGUAGCGAGGUGAAACGUAGCGAAUAAAAAGUAACAAGUAACAAGUAGUAGCAACGGUGCAGCAAGUGGCACAAUCCCUUUUGUAGCAAGGAACAAGUCUGAACAAAGUCUUAUAGGAGAAAAAACGCUUCGAGGACACACGGGAAUUUCUGUCAUGCUAGUUUCAUCAUGUUCAUAUGAUUCGCGUUCGUUAUUUUGAUAGUUUGAUAUGUGGGUGGACCGGCGCUUGGGUACUGUCCUUACUUGGACAAGCAUCCCACUUAUGAUUAACCUAUCUCGCAAGCAUCCGCAACUACAAAAGAAGAAUUAAGGCAAAGUCUAACCAUAUCAUUAAA
rnacentral:lncRNA from 1 species